rnacentral:rRNA from 1 species
AUGGCCUUUAUGUCCAGGGCUACACACGUGCUACAAUGGCCGGUACAAACCGAUGCAAACCCGCGAGGGUGAGCCAAUCGGAGAAAGCCGGUCUCAGUUCGGAUUGCAGUCUGCAACUCGACUGCAUGAAGCUGGAAUCGCUAGUAAUCGCGGAUCAGCAUGCCGCGGUGAAUACGUUCCCGGGCCUUGUACACACCGCCCGUCACAUCACGAAAGUGGGUUGUACUAGAAGCAGGUGAGCUAACCGCAAGGAAGCAGCCUUCCAAGGUGUGAUUCAUGAUUGGGGUGAAGUCGUAACAAGGUAGCCGUAA